rnacentral:rRNA from 1 species
UACGUAGGGGGCAAGCGUUUGUCCCGGAAUCAUUGGGCGUAAAGCGCGUGUAGGCGGCUCGGUAAGUCCGCUCUGAAAGUCCAGGGCUCAACUCUGGGAUGCGGGGUGGAUACUGCCGGGCUCGAGUCCGGAAGAGGCGAGUGGAAUUCCCCGGUGUAGCGGUGAAAUGCGCAGAUAUCGGGAGGAACACCAAUGGCGAAGGCAGCUCGCUGGGACGUGACUGACGCUGAGACGCGAAAGCGUGGGGAGCAACAGG